UAUGACAGAUUAUAUGUAAUGGAUUUAAAACUCAUUUAUAAAGGAUUUACCCUUUUUUUAGAAAA
rnacentral:tRNA from 2 species